UACGUAGGGUGCGAGCGUUGUCCGGAAUUAUUGGGCGUAAAGAGCUCGUAGGCGGCCUGUUGCGUCCGCUGUGAAAUCCCGGGGCUCAACCCCGGGCCUGCAGUGGAUACGGGCUGGCUAGAGGCAGGCAGGGGAGAACGGAAUUCCUGGUGUAGCGGUGAAAUGCGCAGAUAUCAGGAGGAACACCGGUGGCGAAGGCGGAUCUCUGGGCCGAUACUGACGCUGAGGAGCGAAAGCGUGGGGAGCGAACAGG
rnacentral:rRNA from 1 species